rnacentral:rRNA from 1 species
AACGUAUGGUGCAAGCGUUAUCCGGAUUUACUGGGUGUAAAGGGAGCGCAGGCGGCACGGCAAGCCUGAUGUGAAAGCCCGCGGCCCAACCGCGGGACUGCAUUGGGAACUACCGGGCUGGAGUGCCGGAGAGGUAGGCGGAAUUCCUAGUGUAGCGGUGAAAUGCGUAGAUAUUAGGAGGAACACCAGUGGCGAAGGCGGCCUACUGGACGGUGACUGACGCUGAGGCUCGAAAGCGUGGGGAGCAAACAGG